UACGGGGGGGGCAAGCGUUGUUCGGAAUUACUGGGCGUAAAGGGCUCGUAGGCGGCCAACUAAGCCGGAUGUGAAAUCCCCAGGCUUAACCUGGGAACUGCACUCGAAACUGCAGGGCUAGAGUCCUGGAGAGGGAGGUGGAAUGCUUGGUGUAGAGGUGAAAUUCGUAGAUAUCAAGCGGAACACCGGUGGCGAAGGCGGCCUUCUGGACAGUGACUGACGCUGAGACGCGAAAGCGUGGGGAGCAAACAGG
rnacentral:rRNA from 1 species